rnacentral:tRNA from 1 species
GGCUGUAGCUCAGUGGCAGAGUGUUUGCCUAGCAUGUGGGAGGCACUGGGUUUGAUUCUCAGCACCA